UACGUAGGUGGCAAGCGUUGUCCGGAAUUAUUGGGCGUAAAGAGCUCGUAGGCGGUCUGUCGCGUCGGCUGUGAAAACCCGGAGCUCAACUCCGGGCCUGCAGUCGAUACGGGCAAACUGGAGUGUUGCAGGGGAGACUGGAAUUCCUGGUGUAGCGGUGAAAUGCGCAGAUAUCAGGAGGAACACCGGUGGCGAAGGCGGGUCUCUGGGCAACAACUGACGCUGAGAAGCGAAAGCAUGGGGAGCGAACAGG
rnacentral:rRNA from 1 species